rnacentral:rRNA from 1 species
GGCGGCGUGGAUAAGACAUGCAAGUCGAACGCGACUUAUUUUGUUAGCAAUAACAGGGUAGGUUGAGUGGCGAAAGGGUGCGUAACACGUGGGAAUUUACCAAGAAGUGGGGAAUAGCUCGACGAAAGUCGAAUUAAUACCGCAUGUGAUCGCAAGAUCAAAGUCGGGGACCGCAAGGCCUGACGCUUUUUGAGAAGCCCGCGGCCCAUCAGCUAGUUGGCGGGGUAACGGCCCACCAAGGCAAUGACGGGUAGCUGGUCUGAGAGGACGACCAGCCACACUGGAACUGAGACACGGUCCAGACACCUACGGGUGGCAGCAGUCGAGAAUUUUUCACAAUGGACGAAAGUCUGAUGGAGCGACGCCGCGUGGAGGAUGAAGGUUUUCGGAUUGUAAACUCCUGUCACUGCAGAACAAGGAUGCGUUUGUGAACAGCAAAUGUAUUUGAUGGUAUGCGGAGAGGAAGGGACGGCUAACUCUGUGCCAGCAGCCGCGGUAAGACAGAAGUCCCGAGCGUUGUUCGGAUUCAUUGGGCGUAAAGGGUGUGUA